GUGGAACUGCUGCAGAACUAAUUGCUCUCCAGUCUCCACUCUGAGUAUGAAUGCCCAGGCGUAACAUCUCAUGCCUUAAAGGCACAGUAAGAAAGAUUCACACUCACAAACCCAUGGAUUCAUAUAUUCACAACGCAGAGAGUGAGAGCUUGCCAUAUGCAAGUAUGCUGAUUAAGAUAUGCAGAAAUCUCCUGUCUCCCAAAGCCAACUUUCC
rnacentral:lncRNA from 1 species